AUUCUUCUUCUUAUAUUUAAUUAAUUAAAUAACAAUGUGCUUACAGUGGAGCUUGUACAUUAUUAACUUUCAAUUAUUGCAAAUGUUAUGACACAUCUACAAUUUUUUGAUAGUUUAUCUAAUGAUCUUAAUGUAUUCGAAUCAAAAAAUGUAAAUUUUGUACCAAACAGAGUCUUACAUUUAAUAGAAACAAUGAAACAUUGUUAUUGUUUAUUAAUGUACUGUAUGUUUCAUUAUACUGAUAUAUUAAUUGAAAUAAAUUUGUAUCUUAUAUUCUAAACUAGAUUAUUUAACAUUUAUUAUAAUGUCAUUUAAUUUAAUUAAGUUGAAUAUAUUAAGAAUAUACAAUAACAUAUGUUAUUGAACAUAUAGAGUACAUGCAAUGAACUGCAAAAUUAUUAUUAAAAAUUAAAUUUUCAAUUAGCUAUUUAGAAAACUCAAAUUGGCUUAAGAUAAACUAUCUUGUUAGUUAGUUUAGUUUUCAAUGGUGUUAGAAUUUGAAAUAUCAGAUUGUUGAAUACAAGACAUGUGAUUUGAGUCCAACUUGUCUGAAAUAGAUGAAAGAAGAAAAUAUUAUAGCAGAUUCUUUUUAAAAUACAUUCUUGGUGUGUUGAAUAAAUUGAAGUUAUAAGUUGAACAAGUUGAAGAUGGAUCAUUUUAUUGUUUUAGGCUUAUAAAGAAGUGCAGUGAGCAUAUAUAUUUCCUCUGCUGUAAAUUCAUCCAUUUCUAAAAGUUAAUUUUAUCUCUGAAGGACAAUUCCUCUCUUACAUUCUGUCCAUACUAAUUCCACUCGAAAAUAAAAAUGUAAAAUUGUAAAAUAAAUAGUGGUAUACGAUUACAUUAAUAAAAAGUGUAACAUAUA